rnacentral:rRNA from 1 species
AGUCGAACGGACUUACAUUGAAGCCUAGCGAUAUGUAAGUUAGUGGCGGACGGGUGAGUAACGCGUGGGUAACCUGCCUUGUACUGGGGGACAACAGUUGGAAACGACUGCUAAUACCGCAUAAGCGCACAGCUUCGCAUGAAGCAGUGUGAAAAACUCCGGUGGUACAAGAUGGACCCGCGUCUGAUUAGCUGGUUGGUGAGGUAACGGCCCACCAAGGCGACGAUCAGUAGCCGGCCUGAGAGGGUGAACGGCCACAUUGGGACUGAGACACGGCCCAAACUCCUACGGGAGGCAGCAGUGGGGAAUAUUGCACAAUGGGGGAAACCCUGAUGCAGCAACGCCGCGUGAGUGAAGAAGUAUUUCGGUAUGUAAAG